rnacentral:rRNA from 1 species
UACAGAGACUGCAAGCGUUAUUCGGAUUCACUGGGCGUAAAGGGUGCGCAGGCGGUCGGGUGUGUCAGAUGUGAAAUCCCGAGGCUUAACCUCGGAACUGCGUCUGAAACUACUCGACUAGAGUACUGGAGAGGGAAACGGAAUUCACGGUGUAGCAGUGAAAUGCGUAGAUAUCGUGAGGAACACCAGAGGCGAAGGCGGUUUCCUAGACAGUUACUGACGCUCAGGCACGAAAGCAUGGGGAGCAAAAGGG